rnacentral:rRNA from 1 species
UACGAAGGGGGCUAGCGUUGUUCGGAAUUACUGGGCGUAAAGCGCACGUAGGCGGUCAUUUAAGUCAGGGGUGAAAUCCCGGGGCUCAACCCCGGAACUGCCUUUGAUACUGGGUGUCUCGAGUCCGGAAGAGGUGAGUGGAAUUCCGAGUGUAGAGGUGAAAUUCGUAGAUAUUCGGAGGAACACCAGUGGCGAAGGCGGCUCACUGGGCCGUGACUGACGCUGAGGAGCGAAAGCGUGGGUAGCAAACAGG